UAAGAUUUUCAAUUAAAAGAUAAAAUAACUUCUUAAUUUAUGGGGAAAAGAUGCUCUUUUUAUUCUUUGUUCUGCGUUUUCUGUCUGUAUUGUCGUUUUCUUUGUUGAAGAGAUUGCUUUUGUGUCAAGUUCAUUACUUUUAUUGAUCCAACAAUGUGUGAGAUUAUUUUUCAAUUCUUUGAACAUUGAUACAUGGAAAUUUCAUUUUUAUCAUUCUACAAUUUUUAUAGGUUGCAAAUACUCAGAUGUGGUAUAUUCAAGGUCUUACACUAUGUGAACAACAUUUGAUUUCAACAAAUAUGAUGAGUAGGCAAUACUCUUUGGUGAAUCUGUGAGAACAUGCAAAUAGAAAACAAUUUGAGUCCAAGGCAUUUGAUUUAUAUAAAUAACACUCACCAAAUAAAGGAAUGCUGGAAAAUUUUAUGAAUGAAGCUCAUGAGAAAUUGAAGAGUAUGGAGGAGGUCAGCAACUUGAGGGUCAUUUGUUUUACGGCGAAGGGUUUUAGUGUGGAUCACUUUCUGUAGAGGUGCAAAAUACAAGUUACUGUUCAGAGGCCUAUGAUUUUGUCGGAGGGUCAAGUAUAUGUGAUGAAGCACUUUUCUUAUAUUUUGAUUUUGUGAUUCUGAAUAAUUAUUUGUACAGUUGUUAAGUCACCUAUAUAAUUAUAUUACUCAUAUCACAUUUUUUUAAACCAUUAAAGUUA